UAUGGCUUAUUAGAGGACAUUGAAUAUCAUCCCCUGUGCUCUACAGCAGGACCUUGUUGUUUAUCCAUUCUGUAUAUACUAGUUUGCAUCUGUUUAAUUGUCUGUAUUCUUAUCACCAGAAUACGUGCUGUAGGCGGGCAGGGCUUUGUAGGUCUAUGCACUGCUGUUCCCUCUUGCAUAGAGUACCUGCUUAAUCAAUGACGUGAAAAACAAAUAACUCUAUGUAAGGUGGAGGUUUAGACUCUUCUAAAUAGUAGGAGAAAUGAAAAGCUUCUGGUUUACAUUUUUAAGAAUUAAAUAAUGUCUAAUAUCAAUAUAUUCCUCUAUGUGUGCAUAUACCAUAAUUACAGUAAUAAUAGUAUUUGCUAUACGUUAUUCGACGAGACAAGUUGCUGUGGACAGAAUGUUUGUGUUCCCCCAAAUUCAUAUGUUGAAACCCCAGUGUGAUGGUGUUUGGAGGAGGGUGACAGGUCGUGAGAAUGGAGCCCCCCAAAUGGGGUUAGCAUCCUUACAAGAAAAGGACAGGGUCUCCAAGGUUUAUCAACAAGGUGUCCUGCAGUAAGUUUGCCUGCAUCUGGAGAAAACCUGGGCUCCAGGAGGAGUGGAUGUGUCUUCGGGAACACUGACGGUUGUGCAAAGGUUCAUGAGGAGUUAGGAGCACGCAGCCACCGGCUGCAGUUUACAGCAGCAACUCGAGGGAACCUGAAAUUUGAUAUGUCAUUGUGGAAGAAGAUGAGAUUGCCUGCCUGCCUGGUGGAAAUGUGGUUUUGGUCACUACUAAUAAAGCUGCUAUAAACAAUUAUGUACAGGUGUGUGUGGACCUAAGUUCCGUUUCUCUGGGAUAGAUAACCAGGAGUGCAACUGACAGGUUGUCUGGAGAAUGACUUCAUAUGAUACAUUAUCGAAAAGGCUUUGAGUUCAUGAACUGACUGUAAGACAAAUGAUUAAUCUACUCUCUAAUUAUCUGGGCUUUCAUCUUCACAUCCACCCAGUCGAUUAACUCAUAUGCUAUCAAUUCAGAAGGAUACAUGAUAGCAAGAAGAAAGAAGUGUUUUAUAAUCAAAUCAGAUAUUUCACUGGCAAAGGAGAAUGUCCUAAGGAGGGUAUCUGUAUGUACAGACAAGGUGUAUUUGAAGACCUGAUAAAUUGUGAUGGACAAAGUGAUGGGGAAAGACAAAACUACUCAGUAAGUGAAAUAUUGGAGAGACGAUCUUUUGAACCGUUUCAUCAAGCAAUUGCAAAAUUUCAGUGAUAGCCAAGUUUGAGCUGUUAAAAGCACACAUUGAAUCUUGUAGUUUUCCCUAAAUUACCUUAUAUCACCUGUUUGUGAAGUUGACUUUAUGAAUUAUUUGAUUUUGAUGGAAGGACGGUCAUCUACAAAUCAUCAAAGACCUCUAUCUUAAAUUGGAAGAAGAUAAGAAAAAUAAGUUAUUAAUGCCAUGAAAAUUCUCCCCAGAUCUGUGCAGUGUGUUCUAGAGAUGAAAUCAGUAGCGAGGACGCUGCACUGUGGCAGAAUUGUCACAGCACAGAGCGGACAACUCAUUAGCAGGUGAAGACAUCCUUGGAUGUCUCUCCGGGGUCUCGGGAGGGGAAAGCUGCCCUGAGUCUCUCAGUGUCUGGGCUGAACAUUCCCGCUUCGUUACACAGAUCCUGUAGCUGCACCAGAGCUACUGAUUGAAAGGAGACUGUCAAUACCAAAUGAAGAGGCUGAGUUGAUCCUUGUAGAACCAGAGGAUGCUAGAAGAUUUUGUGUUUGUGCUUCACAUAGAAAUCGGAAACUGAAAAAUCCCAUCGGCUCGCUUGGACAGGAGAACAGCAUAGCUUCCGUGCAGGAACGUGUGUCAAUCUCACAAUCCGUUAGCCCAGGUAGCGGGUGACAUUUCAGUAGCGUGUAUGCUGCUCACCAAUGCUAUGGAACAGAUGUGAAGACUGAUAACACUCGUGGAUCCAUCAGAAAUAUUUUUACUUGAGAACGACAAGGAGUGAUGAGGUGACGUCAGUGACCCUUCAAGAAACAGCAACGCUUUCAGGUGACGUCCAAUCCUUCUGCCUCAGGGACCAGCCAUGCCGGGUGGGUCACCCUCAGCACACUGCAGCCCCUCCUGAGUUUCCUGCGGGUCCUGCCCCAGGCUGCCUGUCUGGCCCGGUCUGGACGGGGCCGGGGGACCGUGAGAUCUGGGAAGCAGACGUGUGCCGUGAGGUAAGGAGGAAUCCCUGGGGGUCAGCACCUCUGUGGUGGUUUCAGCUAGAGCUGUGAUGUUCAACCUGGUCCCGGGUCAGCAGGGUCGGCCUCACUUGGGGGCUGUCAGGGAAGCAACCCCGGGCCUACUGCUCAGGAGCUCUGGGGUGGACCUGGAGCCCCGUGUCUUGCCCCCCAGGUCAUUCCGGGGCCGGCUGUCUCAGGGAGGAGAGUGUGACGGUGCGCAUCUUGUGGCUUAGGGCCCUCCCCCUGGAUUGCACACAUUCCAUCUGUGCUUGUGGAGUUACCGAGUCCCUCUAGGUACGCAGGGCACGACCGUGAACAGAGUCCCUGUGUGCCUGUAUUCUAGGUGGGAGGUGGGGAGAUGGGGGACCAGACACGAACAUGUAAAACAGUUAGAACAGUUUCACAGUAACGCCAGUGCUCUGAAUGAAAUGAAACAGUGUGAGAGGAAGGGAGGGAGGGAGAGGUGAUGUGACUCUCCGAGGGGGGGCAUCUGAAUGAACCCGAGGACCAGGCCCCCCGUGUUGGCCUGGAGCAGCUGUCUCGCCUGGGGCUGUGGCUCAAGGUUGCUGGGUUUCUGACUCAGUAGGGCUGGGGUGGGACCCCAGCACGUGCUGCGUUGCUGACAAGUUCCCAGGAGGGGCGAUUGCUGCCGGCUGGGGACGUGUUUUGGAAACUUUUGGUCUAGAGAGAACAUUCCAGAAAGAGGGCACCGCAAGCAUUAAGACUGGGACUUGGGAGGUGAGACAGGCCUAGUGGAUGUGAUGGUUGGGAUAAAGGAAAGUUACUGGUGGGGUGAGGCAGGAGAGGAACAUGGUCUCAUCCGCACUCGUGAAGUAUCGGUCUGGCUGGGUUUGCCGUGGAAGAAUGAUUUGGGGGCAGAGGUGGGAGCAGGGAGAUGGUUCGGAGGCCAGGGUAGCGGCGGCCUGGACCGGGCGACAGCGAUGGGGAGCGGAGAGCAGUGGGAGGGUUGGGGAUGCACUCGGAGGCGGCGCUGGCAGCACGUGCUGGCGGGCUGGAGUGGGGAUAGGUGACAGGAAGAGAGCAGCGAGCAGGGCUCCUCGCUCAACAGCUGGGCAGACGGUGAUGUGACUUACGGGACCAGGAAGACUGGGGCCAUAGCAGGUCGGGUGGGGUGGAGAACAGAGCGUUCUGUUCCGAUACAUCAUGGUCUAGAGGAGGCUGAGACGUUCCCGGUGGGACUGUCAAGGUGCCGGUGGGUAGGUGAGUCUGAAACUCAGGGAGCUGUGCAGGGCUGAGGACAUAGUUUGGGGAGUCAUCGAUCAAAAGGUGCUGAUUGAUUGAAAUCCCCAACCUGGCUUGGAUAUCCGAGAAGUUAUUAGCGCUCCCGGGUGUGUCUCAGUUCCCAAAUUCUCGGUCUCCUCCCUGCCCUGCCCUGGCUUCUUCCUCCUGAAGUGGGGCUGGGCUGCCCCCCACCCGCUGCAUCGCUGGCUCCUGCUAGGAAAGAAGCAGCCCUCCGACACCUCCCUCCUUCUCUGCCAGCUGCUGUGCUAGCCCUCCAGGGCCGGCGGCCUCUCCCUCACCCCAGCCACUCUUCGUAACCCUCCAUACUUGCCUGCUUGGGGUUUUGACCUGCCGAGUAUUUGAACACUUGGCUUUUGGGCGUCUAUGCCCUCCUGGGUGCCCCACCGAGCUCUGGGCCGCGCUCAGUCCUCCCCUCAGCACCACGGUGCCGAACAGCCCCCCGUGUCCUGCCCACUCCCAUCCUGCCAAGCUGCCUUAUCACCUGCUUUGACACUUUUCUAAAGUAGUUGAGCUUGUCAGGAUUUAUAAUAGGAUGGGCCCUUUUUACUGAAAAAAUACACUUUCUAAACCCAAUUUUUAGAUCAGCUCUUUCAACUGGAUUUUCUUUUCCCUUUUCCUUCUCUAUCCAGUUGCAGUUGUCUGCAGGCCUUUUGAGAACCGCUGUGUCAUUGUGCUUGUUUUUUCAGUCUGCACACGACACCCCUCAGGAUCGCUUUAGCCACUAGAGUCGCAUUAAGAUUGAUCAGCUGCGCGUUCCGCUCGCUGACUUUCUCUGGCAAACCAGAGUCUUCGAAUUAAAUGACCAUCCGUGCUGUGCUGAAGUAUUCAUUUGCAGGAUUUGUGUUCCUGUCUUCCCUCAGAAGCACCUUGGAUUUGAUUUCACAUUCUAGUUGUUCUUCCUGUUUAAUAAGGUCAGUUCAGUGCGCCAUAAUCUGCUCCGGACAGCUGCAGGUUUAACUGAUGUCACCUGGUGAGUCGCACCUGAUGGAAUGGCCAGUCGAUCAACACGUUCUUUCUGCACAAUCUAAAUGAAACUUUGGGGUCAACUUGAACAGAGGAAAUUCCGCCAGUGAUGGAAAAUUUAAAGCCCAACCUGUUCUUGGUCGAUUGUACAUAACCAAGUUAUCCCAGCUCACAGGGAAAUCCUGAGAAUGUCAGUGCCUUUUGGAAGCAGCACUGUGUUUCUCAGGGCCUGAGAAAUACUCAGCAAUGGAAAAGUUCUAAAUAAUAUCUUAGUGGACUGAAAAAAAUCAGGCACUGUGUUUAGAGCAUCUAAGUGAUUAUGCUCUGGAGAAGUUUACUUUAUGUUAAUCAGGGAAAAUACGGAACAAAGUCUGGCAGGGACAGUGGGACCUUGAACACGUCUAGGCUACCUAUGGUCAAAUUACUAGCUGCCUUGUAUAGGAAUAAUAAAGUGUUAUUACUUGUGUUGGUGUCUUAAUGGAAAUAUAAGUUAGAGUUUACUGAGACAGUGAUGAUACCUUUUCUGUUCAAGGUCCUUUUCCAAGAUACCACUUUCCUCUUCUUUCAAGGCUCAGAAACAAAUAAUUGAUUUUUUCUGCUUCGUUUAAUUAACGUUCACGGAGGGAUUGCCACACAGAGGAUGCUAUUACAGACCUGGGAGGUACAAAUGUGAGUAACACAAUGCUCUCUGUCGACGAGAAGGUAAGAACUUGGAGGUGGGGAUUGAUGGGUAGUUAAUGCAGUGUGAUUAGUGUAGGGGCACCUCUAAUGCGGGUGAAGCCUGGGCAGUUCUGGGGCAGUGAGAAUUCCUUGAAGCUGAGACUUUGAAAAGGGCGUCAUCAAGAAUGAGGCCAGAGAUGUCGGUGGGUUGAGAUGAGAUGAGAAAUUCCUUGUACGUUAAGCUGGAAGUUGGAUUUGAUCUUCUAGGCCAUGGUUAGCCAUUGAAAGAUUUUAAGCAGAGGUGUAACGAUCAUCUAAUUUUUCUUUUGAAAAAUCAUCCUGGCAGUAGUGUGGAGGAUGGAUUUAGGGCAGGGAGGAGCUGGGGGUGGGAAGACCAGCAGGAAAGGUACUGACAGACCCAGAAGAGAGAUGGCGAGACUGUGGACGAGGCAGUGGUAGGGAGCGAUGGGGAGAGACUGGGGUCGAGGAUUAGAGGGAGUGUGAGAGCGGGUAGACACCUGGAGGGCAGAGGUGCGUGUGCGGAGCGCCCUGGGAACAUCGAGUUGUUGGAAAGCCAUUAGAAGGGGGGGAGGUACAAUCUGGGGCCUCAUCUGUGGAAGUGGAUAGACUCUCCCUGGAAGAGAGCUUAGAGGAGGGAACAGCAGCAGUCAUAAGACGAGGGGAUAAAGAGGGAUGAAGAAACCAUACUGAGAGCAGCUGCAACAGAACAGAGCAUACAGAUGCCCCACUUGACCAUGGUUUGACGCGGGAUGUUUUGACGUAGUGUGGAGGUGAUGCGCAUUUCGUAGAAACCAUGCUUCGAAUUUUCUUCAUAAUAAAAAUGGUUCCAUGGCUAGAGUCUAAAAGUGUGAAAACGAUCCCAGGGCGGAAGCUGCAGCCCAGCAGGGCACAGGGACUUGCUGAAGUCCCAGGUGACCGAGUGGCCCAGCGAAGCCCAGACCCAAGUUCCCUUCACAUCCCGGCUCUUCCUGGGCUGCGGCUUUCAGAUGCGUGUCAUCGUCUGUCUGUGACUUACCACAACGGUCUCUGGAAAUAAACAGCGUUUUCA